rnacentral:rRNA from 1 species
AUUGAACGCUGGCGGCAGGCUUAACACAUGCAAGUCGAGCGGGGUGAUGGUGCUUGCACUGUCACUUAGCGGCGGACGGGUGAGUAAUGCUUAGGAAUCUGCCUAUUAGUGGGGGACAACAUCUCGAAAGGGAUGCUAAUACCGCAUACGUCCUACGGGAGAAAGCAGGGGAUCACUUGUGACCUUGCGCUAAUAGAUGAGCCUAAGUCGGAUUAGCUAGUUGGUGGGGUAAAGGCCUACCAAGGCGACGAUCUGUAGCGGGUCUGAGAGGAUGAUCCGCCCCACUGGGAAUGGGACACGGCCCAGACUCCUACGGGAGGCAGCAGUGGGGAAUAGUGGACAAUGGGGGAAACCCUGAUCCAGCCAUGCCGCGUGUGUGAAGAAGGCCUUAUGGUUGUAAAGCACUUUCAGCGAGGAGGAAAGGUUGAUGCCUAAUACGUAUCAACUGUGACGUUACUCGCAGAAGAAGCACCGGCUAACUCCGUGCCAGCCGCCGCGGUAAUAC